AUGUAUAGAGUAGCAAGCCCUUCAGAAUAUCUGGUGAUCACCGGGGCCGGGAUCGACGACAUAAAGCUGGCAAAGAAGGGAUGGAUCCUCCCCGGACAAUCUUACAUCAUCUUUGACAUGUCCCCCGUCAACUAUACCUUCGAAGUCCAAGCCAUGAGCAUCGAGAAGCUUCCCUUCAUGCUCCCGGCCGUCUUCACUAUCGGCCCCCGCAUCGACGACAUGCCCAGUCUCCACAAGUACGCCAAGCUCAUUUCUCUCCACGACAAGCUCUCCACCCACGUCAAAGAGCUUGUCCAGGGCAUCAUCGAGGGUGAGACGCGUGUCCUCUCUGCCUCGAUGACCAUGGAGGAGGUGUUUAGGGGGACCAAAGAGUUUAAGCAAGAGGUGUUUGAGAAGGUUCAGUUGGAACUGAAUCAGUUCGGGCUUUUGAUAUAUAACGCAAACGUCAAACAGUUGGUGGAUGUUCCUGGACAUGAGUAUUUUAGUUACUUGGGGCAGAAGACACAGAUGGAGGCGGCCAAUCAGGCUAAAGUUGAUGUGGCGGAGGCGAGGAAGAAAGGAAAGAUAGGGUCCAAGGAGAGGGAGGGGUUGACGCUGCAGAAUGCCGCGAAGAUUGAUGCAGAAACAAAAAUAUAUGCCACGAAGAGGGCCGGGGAGGGGAUGAUGGCGGAGAUAAAGGUGAAAGCAGAGGUGAAGGUGUAUGAGAAUGUGAGGGAGGCUGAGGUGGCCGAGGCGAAUGCUGAGCUGGCAAAGAAGAAGGCCAAGUGGGGGAAGGAGGCGCAUGUGGCGGAGGUGGAGGCCGUGAAGGCUGUGGCGUUGAGGGAUGCGGAGCUGCAGACGGAGGUGGAGAGGAUGAAUGCCUUGACUAGGACGGAGAAGCUUAAGGCUGAGUUUUUGAGUAAGGCCAACGUUGAGUAUGAGACAAAGGUACGUACGUGACUAUAACGUGGGUAGCUUUCUUUUCGUGUUUUGUUUUUUUGGGAAAAAUGAUGUUGCUCAUGAUUUUUACUAAUCAUAUUAUGUGGUAUCUGACCAAUUAGCUCUUAGUUUGGAGAAAUUUUUGUAUGUUCGGGGUACACUAUAUGGUUGGUGUACCAUCUAAUUCACAUACGACAUGUGGAUAUGUGGACAUGUUUUAUUUUUAUGUCCUAUAUGUAUGUUAUACAAUAUUUCCACAUGUUCCAUGUGUAUUGGAUAGUACACCAGCCAUGUGAUGUACCCGGAACAUACAAAAAUUACUUCUUAAUUUGUACUUUUCUUUCAAAAGUGCUAGUAGAUUCUAUAUUUAAAUAUAUGAUCAUUUUCUUAUUGAUAAAAGAAAACUUUCAUCAGUGUGAAUCAUAAUAAUUAUCUAUACUAACCAUAAUCAUGAUUAUAAUCUUUGUAUAUUCUUUAGUAUAUACUCUUGAAUAUUUUAGUAUGUAAAUAUAAAAUCUUUGUUCUCUCAAUCUAGGUAUACUUAAGUUUUUACUAAAAAAAUAUGAUCAAUAUAUAUGAUGCUUUGGUACAUAUUAUAGGUUAGAAAACAAGCUUUAUAUUUUGUUUGGGAAGUUCCCAAAACAUGAAAUUUUAGAUGACUUGCUUUCUAGCUCGUUUUUGUAUAAAGGUUAAGGAUAAUUGUUUAUCAAGGCAAUGCAUGAUAUCAAUGCUUUAUCUAACACCAGUGUUCACAAACAAAGGUACAAGAAGCAAAUUGGGAGUUAUACAACAAACAAAAGGCCGCGGAAGCAAUUCUUUACCUGAGGGAGAAAGAGGCUGAGGCACAGAAGGCAAUUGCAGAGGCAGAAUUGUAUGCUUGUCAACAAGUUGCAGAUGGAGAAUUUUAUGCCAAGAAAAAAGAGGCUGAGGGCCUCAUGGCCCUUGGACAAGCCCAAGGUGCCUAUCUAUGCAAUCUUUGGGACGCAGUUGGAGGCAACUAUGCAGCCAUGAGGGAUUUCAUGAUGAUCAACGGCAGCAUAUUUCCAGAAAUUGCUAAGAUUAACGCUGAUGCCGUGUGUGGACUUCAACCCAAAAUCAGCAUUUGGACUAAUGGAGGCGGAGAGGGCGGCAGAAAUGGGGCCAUGAAGGAGGUUGCUGGAGUUUACAAGAUGUUGCCACCAUUGUUCAAGACAGUUCAUGAUCAAACUGGAAUGCUGCCACCGGCUUGGAUGGGCACCUUGCCAAAUUCUGGUUCUAACAACUAG
rnacentral:lncRNA from 1 species